GCUCCGGUGGCCGAAGUGGUUAGUGCGUCCACCUCAAAUGCGGGAGGUCGCGGGAUCGAACUCCCGUCGAGUCA